rnacentral:rRNA from 1 species
GAUCCUGCCAGUAGUCAUAUGCUUGUCUCAAAGAUUAAGCCAUGCAUGUCUCAGUACAAACCAAAUUAAGGUGAAACCGCGAAAGGCUCAUUAAAUCAGUUAUGGUUUCUUAGAUCGUACCCACAUUUACUUGGAUAACUGUGGUAAUUCUAGAGCUAAUACAUGCAAACAGAGCCCCGACCGGAGACGGAAGGGGUGCUUUUAUUAGAUCAAAACCAAUCGGCGGCAGUGGCGUUUCGGCGUUGCUGUUCGUCGCACUGUUUGGUGACUCUGAAUAACUUUUGGCUGAUCGCACGGUCUCGCACCGGCGACGCAUCUUUCAAAUGUCUGCCUUAUCAACUGUCGAUGGUAGGUUCUGCGCCUACCAUGGUUGUAACGGGUAACGGGGAAUCAGGGUUCGAUUCCGGAGAGGGAGCCUGAGAAACGGCUACCACAUCCAAGGAAGGCAGCAGGCGCGCAAAUUACCCACUCCCAGCACGGGGAGGUAGUGACGAAAAAUAACGAUACGGGACUCAUCCGAGGCCCCGUAAUCGGA